rnacentral:rRNA from 1 species
AGCAGCCGCGGUAAUUCCAGCUCCAAUAGCGUAUAUUAAAGUUGUUGCAGUUAAAAAGCUCGUAGUUGAAUUUCGGGAUCAAUAUAUCGGUCGUGCCAUUGGUACGUACUGGUAUCAUUGGUUUCUCCUUUCUGACGAACCAUGAUGUCAUUAAUUUGGUGUUAUGGGAAGUUAGGACUGUUACUUUGAAAAAAUUAGAGUGUUUAAAGCAGGCUUUAGCUUGAAUACAUUAGCAUGGAAUAAUGAAAUAGGACGUUCGAACCUAUUUUGUUGGUUUCUAGGAUCAACGUAAUGAUUAAUAGGGAUAGUUGGGGGCAUUAGUAUUCAAUUGUCAGAGGUGAAAUUCUUGGAUUUAUUGAAGACUAACUACUGCGAAAGCAUUUGCCAAGGAUGUUUUCAUUAAUCAAGAACGAAAGUUAGGGGAUCGAAGACGAUCAGAUACCGUCGUAGUCUUAACCAUAAACUAUGCCGACUAGGGAUCGGAUGAUGUUAAUUUUUAAUGACUCAUUCGGCGCCUUAC